GACAGAGGGUGCAAACGUUGUUCGGAAUUACUGGGCGUAAAGCGCGUGUAGGCUGCUUCGCAAGUCGGAUGUGAAAGCCCUGGGCUCAACCUAGGAAGUGCAUUCGAAACUGCGAAGCUGGAGUCCUGGAGAGGAAGGCGGAAUUCUCGGUGUAGAGGUGAAAUUCGUAGAUAUCGAGAGGCACACCGGUGGCGCAGGCGGCCUUCUGGACAGUGACUGACGCUGAGACGCGAAAGCGUGGGGAGCAAACAGG
rnacentral:rRNA from 1 species